UGAAACAAGGAAGUGGAGACAAGGUUUUGGCUCCUCUUGUUAAAGGCUCAGAGAGGAGCCGAAACGUUGUCUCCACUUCCUUGUUUCAAAGAAAGACAG